rnacentral:rRNA from 1 species
UACGAGGGGUGCAAGCGUUGCUCGGAAUUAUUGGGCGUAAAGGGUAGGUAGGUGGUCUUAUUUGUCGAGGGUGAAAGCCUUGAGCUUAACUCAAGAAGUGCCCUCGAAACGGUAAGACUAGAGUGCUGGAGAGGGUCGUGGAAUUCCCGGUGUAGCGGUGAAAUGCGUAGAGAUCGGGAGGAACACCAGAGGCGAAAGCGGCGACCUGGACAAGCACUGACACUCAACUACGAAAGCGUGGGUAGCAAACAGG